rnacentral:ncRNA from 1 species
CACCAGGUUGAUUCUGCCUGACGUAGACGCUAUACUCUAAGAUUAACCCAUGCAUGUUUAUUGAAUAUAAAGAAAAGACGAACAGCUCAGUAACUCUUAUUUGAUUUGAUGUAUUAGGACUCUAACUAUGUUAAAUUAUAGGUAACAAUAAUACAAUAAGAAUAAGAUCUAUCAGUUAGUUGUUAAGGUAAUGGCUUAACAAGACUAUGACGGAUAACGGUAUUACUUUGUAAUAUUCCGGAGAAGGAGCCUGAGAGAUUGCUACUAAGUCUAAGGAUUGCAGCAGGGGCGAAACUUGACCUAUGAUAUUAUAUUGAGGCAGUUAUGAGUAGUAUUUUAUAAUUAUUGUAGUAUUGUAAGUACAUAUUACAAGAUAAAUCGGAGGGCAAAUCGAGUGCCAGCAGCCGCGGUAAUACUUGUUCCGAUAGUGUGUAUGAUGAUUGAUGCAGUUAAAAAGUCUGUAGUUUAUUUUAUAAUAAGCAUUGUAAGGUAUACUGUAUGGUUAGGAGAGAGAUGAAAUGUGAUAACCCUAACUGGAUGAACAGAAGCGAAAGCUGUAUACUUAAAUGUAUUAUUAGAACAAGGACGUAAGCUAGAGCAGUGAUGGCAGCGUUCACAA